rnacentral:rRNA from 1 species
GUUGGGUAGGGGAGCGUUCUGUAAGCCUGCGAAGGUGUACUGUGAGGUAUGCUGGAGGUAUCAGAAGUGCGAAUGCUGACAUAAGUAACGAUAAUGCGGGUGAAAAACCCGCACGCCGGAAGACCAAGGGUUCCUGUCCAACGUUAAUCGGGGCAGGGUGAGUCGACCCCUAAGGCGAGGCUGAAAAGCGUAGUCGAUGGGAAACGGGUUAAUAUUCCCGUACUGGUGGUAACUGCGAUGGGGGAACGGAGAAGGCUAGGUUGUCCGGGCGACGGUCGUCCCGGUUCAAGCAUGUAGGCAGAGUGAUUAGGCAAAUCCGGUCACUUAAUGCUGAGGUGUGAUGACGAACCACUAAGGUGGUGAAGCAAUUGAUGCCCUGCUUCCAGGAAAAGCCUCUAAGCUUCAGGUUACCAACAAUCGUACCCCAAACCGACACAGGUGGUCAGGUAGAGAAUACUCAGGCGCUUGAGAGAACUCGGGUGAAGGAACUAGGCAAAAUGGUGCCGUAACUUCGGGAGAAGGCACGCUGGCGGUAAGUGAAGUCCCU